AAAAUUAAAAAUAAAAAAGAAACCCAAAUGAAAAGUUUGAGUGCUUUUAUCCUUAGUUUGAGUGUGGGACAUUUUCUCUUCUGAAUGUUCUCUAAGAAAAUCCUAUAAAUCAUUUAACUGAAGUAGGGUCCUUGAUCGAAAAUGAGCCAUGAAUUUCAUCUCCAGAGCCACUAUCAGUCAUUUUAAUAUUAUCUGAAAUUGGAGAGAACGCCAUAUAUCCUGUAUCAUGGUCAUUUUUCAAUCGGUUAUCUUAAUUGGCACGGAUUGAUUUUGCUGCAAAUGGCUAGAUCUUUUUAUUUUACCUCUGAAAUAAAUUUGCUGCCUAAAAUUUUCUGAAUUAUUUGGAUAAACUGAAUUGACUUUGUUUUGCAUGCCAUUUAGAAUCCGGUCUGAUGAUAGUAGUGGACAUCUGUCUGAUCCGAAUGAGGCAGGAUUGUUUAUGAAUCGAAAAUCCCAAGAUGCUGCAGUUGGUGCUCUUUUACGUAUGCUGAAGAAAGCCCCUCCUCUUCGCCAAGAUAUCUGCAGUUUAAUUAAUUUUUCGGAAGCCUCCAGUCCAGAAAUGUCGAACAGCAGCAUUUAUGAGCAAAACCAAAUUUCUGGGGUUGUGAAUGUUGAGCAUGCUGCUUCUUCAAGUAUUGCAUCUUCCAGGUUUGUUGCAUCAAAGACAACUGCUGAUGCAUUAGAGGAGCUUCGGGGUUAUAAAGAGAUGAAAAGCUUAUUGCUUAGUGAAGGUGGUAAGUCUUACACAUCUGCCAAUAAUGCCUCAGGAGCUGAACAUUCCAGUAAAGAAUCCGGUCUGAUGAUAGUAGUGGACAUCUGUCUGAUCCGAAUGAGGCAGGAUUGUUUAUGAAUCGAAAAUCCCAAUAUGCUGCAGUUUGUGCUCUUUUACGUAUGCUGAAGAAAGCCCCUCCUCGUCGCCAAGAUAUCUGCAGUUUAAUUAAUUUUUCGGAAGCCUCCAGUCCAGAAAUGUCGAACAGCAGCAUUUAUGAGCAAAACCAAAUUUCUGGGGUUGUGAAUGUUGAGCAUGCUGCUUCUUCAAGUAUUGCAUCUUCCAGGUUUGUUGCAUCAAAGACAACUGCUGAUGCAUUAGAGGAGCUUCCGGGUUAUAAAGAGAUGAAAAGCUUAUUGCUUAGUGAAGGUGGUAAGUCUUACACAUCUGCCAAUAAUGCCUCAGGAGCUGAACAUUCCAGUAAAGGCUACAUAUGUCCAUGGUAGUGCAACAUAUCUCUAUCUUUCGCUCACCAUCUCUCUGUUGCUGUCGUCUCUAUUAUUUUCCUCUUUUCCCUUGUUUUUCCUCCUCCAUGUGGGUCUAGUCUGGAAAUGCAAUUGCCUUAUGAUUAGAAUUG